rnacentral:rRNA from 1 species
CUUGGUCAUUUAGAGGAAGUAAAAGUCGUAACAAGGUUUCCGUAGGUGAACCUGCGGAAGGAUCAUUACAGAAUAAACUUGAUGGGUUGUAGCUGGUUCUCUCGGGAGCAUGUGCUCGCCUGUCACUUUUGUUUUUCCACCUGUGCACCAUUUGUAGCCUUGGAAUUAUAAAACUAUCUGAAUGCUUUUCAGUAUGAGGGUUUGCUGGGCCACACUUGGCUAAGCUUCCCUUGCUGGUUUCAAGGCUAUGUUUUCUUUUAUACACCCCUGUAGUAUGUCUCAGAAUGAUAUUCAAGGGCCCCUAGUGCCUAUAAAGUUUAUACAACUUUCAACAACGGAUCUCUUGGCUCUCGCAUCGAUGAAGAACGCAGCGAAAUGCGAUAAGUAAUGUGAAUUGCAGAAUUCAGUGAAUCAUCGAAUCUUUGAACGCACCUUGCGCUCCUUGGUAUUCCGAGGAGCAUGCCUGUUUGAGUGUCAUUAAUUUCUCAACCUUGUCAUUUUUCAUGACAAGGCUUGGACUUGGGGGUUUUUUGCAGGCUUCAACCCAAUGAAGUUGGCUCCCCUUAAACGCAUUAGCCGGAAAACUCUGCGUCUAUUGGUGUGAUAAUUAUCUACAUCGUGGACAGGCAGUAAUGGGUUUUCUGCUUCGAACCGUCCUUAGGGACAUCAAAUGACCAUCUGACCUCAAAUCAGGUAGGACUACCCGCUGAACUUAAGCAUAUCCUCCGCUUAUUGAUAUGCCGCCGUUACUUCCUCUAAAUGACCAAG